UGGGGAAUAUUGGACAAUGGGCGCAAGCCUGAUCCAGCCAUGCCGCGUGAGUGAUGAAGGCCUUAGGGUUGUAAUGCUCUUUUUGGCGGGGACGAUAAUGACGGUACCCGCAGAAUAAGCCCCGGCUAACUUCGUGCCAGCAGCCGCGGUAAUACGAAGGGGGCUAGCGUUGUUCGGAAUUACUGGGCGUAAAGCGCACGUAGGCGGAUCAGCAAGUCAGGGGUGAAAUCCUGGGGCUCAACCCCAGAACUGCCUUUGAUACUGGCUGUCUCGAGGUCGAGAGAGGUUGGUGGAAUUCCUAGUGUAGAGGUGAAAUUCGUAGAUAUUAGGAAGAACACCAGUGGCGAAGGCGGCCAACUGGCUCGAUACUGACGCUGAGGUGCGAAAGCGUGGGGAGCAAACAGGAUUAGAUACCCUCGUAGUCCCUGAGCGGGCUGGCAAGGCGCAU
rnacentral:rRNA from 1 species